UACGUAGGGGGCUAGCGUUGUCCGGAAUCAUUGGGCGUAAAGCGCGUGUAGGCGGUCCGGUAAGUCCGCUGUGAAAGUCGGGGGCUCAACUCCGGAGGGUCGGUGGAUACUGCCAGUCUUGAAGGUGCUAGGGGGAGAUGGAAUUACCGGUGUAGCGGUGAAAUGCGUAGAUAUCGGUAGGAACACCAGUGGCGAAGGCGGUCUCCUGGGGCAUUCUUGACGCUGAGGCGCGAAAGCUGGGGGAGCAAACGGG
rnacentral:rRNA from 1 species